rnacentral:rRNA from 1 species
AGCAGCCGCGGUAAUUCCAGCUCCAAUAGCGUAUAUUAAAGUUGUUGCAGUUAAAAAGCUCGUAGUUGAAUUUCGGGAUCAAGGGAUCGGUCAUGCCUUGGUAUGUACUGGUUUUAUUGGUUCUCACCUUCUAAAGAACCAUAAUGUCAUUUAUUUGAUGUUAUGGGGAAUUAGGACUGUUACCUUGAAAAAUUAGAGUGUUUAAAGCAAGCUUACGCUUGAAUACAUUAGCAUGGAAUAAUGAAAUAGGACAUCAGAUUCUAUUUUGUUGGUUUCUAGGAUCGAUGUAAUGAUUAAUAGGGAUAGUUGGGGGCAUUAGUAUUCAAUUGUCAGAGGUGAAAUUCUUGGGUUUAUUGAAGACUAACUACUGCGAAAGCAUUUGCCAAGGAUGUUUUCAUUAAUCAAGAACGAAAGCUAGGGGAUCGAAGACGAUCAGAUACCGUCGUAGUCUUAACCAUAA